UGCCUCAGUAACGGCGAGUGAAGCGGCAAGAGCUCAAAUUUGAAAGCUGGCUCCUUCGGAGUCCGCAUUGUAAUUUGCAGAGGAUGCUUUGGGUGCGGCCCCCGUCUAAGUGCCCUGGAACGGGCCGUCAGAGAGGGUGAGAAUCCCGUCUUGGGCGGGGUGUCCGUGCCCGUGUAAAGCUCCUUCGACGAGUCGAGUUGUUUGGGAAUGCAGCUCUAAAUGGGUGGUAAAUUUCAUCUAAAGCUAAAUACUGGCCGGAGACCGAUAGCGCACAAGUAGAGUGAUCGAAAGAUGAAAAGCACUUUGAAAAGAGAGUUAAACAGCACGUGAAAUUGUUGAAAGGGAAGCGCUUGCGACCAGACUCGCCCGCGGGGUUCAGCCGGCAUUCGUGCCGGUGUACUUCCCCGUGGGCGGGCCAGCGUCGGUUUGGGCGGCCGGUCAAAGGCCCCUGGAAUGUAGUGCCCUCCGGGGCACCUUAUAGCCAGGGGUGCAAUGCGGCCAGCCUGGACCGAGGAACGCGCUUCGGCACGGACGCUGGCAUAAUGGUCGUAAACGACCCGUCUUGAAACACGGACCAAGGAGUCUAACAUCUACGCGAGUGUUCGGGUGUCAAACCCGUGCGCGCAGUGAAAGCGAACGGAGGUGGGAGCCCCCUUGCGGGGCGCACCAUCGACCGAUCCUGAUGUCUUCGGAUGGAUUUGAGUAAGAGCGUAGCUGUGGGGACCCGAAAGAUGGUGAACUAUGCCUGAAUAGGGCGAAGCCAGAGGAAACUCUGGUGGAGGCUCGCAGCGGUUCUGACGUGCAAAUCGAUCGUCAAAUUUGGGUAUAGGGGCGAAAGACUAAUCGAACCAUCUAGUAGCUGGUUCCUGCCGAAGUUUCCCUCAGGAUAGCAGUAACGCAAAAUCAGUUUUAUGAGGUAAAGCGAAUGAUUAGAGGCAUUGGGGUUGAAACAACCUUAACCUAUUCUCAAACUUUAAAUAUGUAAGAAGCCCUUGUUGCUUAGUUGAACGUGGGCAUUAGAAUGGAGCGUUACUAGUGGGCCAUUUUUGGUAAGCAGAACUGGCGAUGCGGGAUGAACCGAACGCGAGGUUAAGGUGCCGGAAUGCACGCUCAUCAGACACCACAAAAGGUGUUAGUUCAUCUAGACAGCCCGACGGUGGCCAUGGAAGUCGGAAUCCGCUAAGGAGUGUGUAACAACUCACGGGCCGAAUGAACUAGCCCUGAAAAUGGAUGGCGCUCAAGCGUGCUACCCAUACCUCGCCGUCGGGGUAGAAACGAUGCCCCGACGAGUAGGCAGGCGUGGGGGUCCGUGACGAAGUCCCCU
rnacentral:rRNA from 1 species